CUACGGGACGCUGCAGUGGGGAAUAUUGGACAAUGGGGGAAACCCUGAUCCAGCAAUGCCGCGUGUGUGAAGAAGGCCUGCGGGUUGUAAAGCACUUUCGGUUGGGAGGACUGCUUCUAGCACUAAUAUUGUUGGAAGUUGACGUUACCUUCAGAAGAAGCACCGGCUAACUCCGUGCCAGCAGCCGCGGUAAUACGGAGGGUGCAAGCUUUAAUCGGAAUUACUGGGCGUAAAGCGCGCGUAGGCGGCUAGAUCAGUCGGGUGUGAAAGCCCCGGGCUUAACCUGGGAACUGCAUCCGAUACUGUCUAGCUUGAGUACAGGAGAGGAGAGUGGAAUUCCACAUGUAGCGGUGAGAUGCGUAGAUAUGUGGAGGAACACCAAUGGCGAAGGCAGCUCUCUGGCCUGAUACUGACGCUGAGGUGCGAAAGCGUGGGGAGCAAACAGGAUUAGAUACCCCAGUAGUC
rnacentral:rRNA from 1 species